GUUUUUAGGACACAAAUAGGCCCAAGUCCAGAACAACAGACUCCUAAAGAAGAUGAUAUGUAUGUACAAAUUAUAGGCCCAGGUAUAUAUAAUACGAUUACCUGAGAAAACAGUGACACUUAAUAAGAAAGAUCGAGGAAGCUGAUGAAUGAAUUUCAUCAGCUGCUUCAUGAAAAUUUGUAUAUGAAUCAUCAUUUCACCCAACCUAAUAUAUAUCGAAACAAUCAAUGAAAAGUUUUUUAUUUAUUUAAAUCCCGGUAUAUACUAAUAUAUAAAAAUUGUAACAUCAAAAUUUGCUGAAGCACUUUACACAAAACUAAGCCGAGAGACAGGUAAAAACAACACUAGUAUGAUCAGCAUUGGAAUCCGACUUCAUGGUUCCUCCAGAAUUAUUAUGUUCAUUCUUCUUCUUCUUAUUUCGAUCGUCAGAUGUAUUCCAUGCAGCCGUCUUGCUGGUUUUUGAUCCUGCUCCGUUGGCUUCAGCUGCUGCCUUCUUUUCCAUUCUUCUCUUCAUCACAUACUCUUCUGAAAUAUAAACAUCCAUCAGGUAAUAUUUAAACACUCCCUACUCUCUUCCUUAUGCCUAGUAGUGCAUGAAUAUGAGUAUCAUGAAUAGGACGAGGUUAUAUAUAUACAAACGAGAAAUGUGUUUGUUAUGUAUGUGCAUGCAAAGUGUUGCAUAUGAAUCAUGACUGAAUAUUCUAUGGGCUUGGGUACCAUGUUUUCUGCUUAAACAAUCAACAAGUUGUCGGGUUAUAUAUCAUUACCAAGGGCGCUUUUGUAAUCGAUUUCCGCUAAAGUUUUCAGAUCUCCUCUUUAGCUUGCUUUUUCAUUUCAUGACUUAGUAGGGCUCUGGCAAAACCUAUUUUUAGAUUAUAAAUAUUUAUUUUUAAGAAGAUAUAUACCCCU
rnacentral:lncRNA from 1 species